rnacentral:rRNA from 1 species
GAUGAACGCUAGCGGCAGGCCUGACACAUGCAAGUCGAGGGGUAGUAGCAUUAAGCUUGCUUAAUUGCUGACGACCGGCGCACGGGUGCGUACAGCGUAUGCAACCUACCUUAUACUGGGGUAUCGCACGGCGGAAGUCGUAUUAAUCCGCCAUAGUCCAACGGAAUCGCAUGGUUUAUUAGUUAAAGCAUUGCGGGAUAAGAUCGGCAGGCGUCCUAUUAGCUAGAUGGUGGGAGGACGGCUCACCAUGGCUACGAUAGGUAGGGUGCUUGAGAGGGUGGUCCCCCACACUGGUACUGAGACACGGACCAGACUCCUACGGGAGGCAGCAGUGAGGAAUAUUGGUCAAUGGGCGCAAGCCUGAACCAGCCAUGCCGCGUGCAGGAAGAAUGCCCUAUGGGUUGUAAACUGCUUUUAUUUGGGAAUAAACCUCUUUACGUGUAGAGAGCUGAAGGUACCAAAUGAAUAAGCACCGGCUAACUCCGUGCCAGCAGCCGCAGUAA